UUGGCCUACGGGACGCAGCAGUGGGGAAUAUUGCACAAUGGGGGGGACCCUGAUGCAGCGACGCCGCGUGAAGGAAGAAGUAUUUCGGUAUGUAAACUUCUAUCAGCAGGGAAGAAAAAGGACGGUACCUGACUAAGAAGCCCCGGCUAACUACGUGCCAGCAGCCGCGGUAAUACGUAGGGGGCGAGCGUUAUCCGGAUUUACUGGGUGUAAAGGGGGCGCAGACGGCCAUGGCAAGCCCGGUGUGAAGG
rnacentral:rRNA from 1 species